rnacentral:rRNA from 1 species
UACGUAGGGUGCGAGCGUUGCCCGGAUUUAUUGGGCGUAAAGGGCGCGUAGGCGGUGAGACACGUUCGUUGUGAAAUCGCCCGGCUCAACUGGGCGGGGUCAGCGGAUACGGUCUCACUUGAGCAAGCUAGGGGGCAAUGGAAUUCCCGGUGUAGUGGUGGAAUGCGUAGAUAUCGGGAGGAACACCAGUGGCGAAGGCGGCAUCCUGGACCGACAUUGACGCUGAUGAGCGAAAGCUAGGGGAGCAAACGGG